UACGAAGGGGGCUAGCGUUGCUCGGAAUCACUGGGCGUAAAGGGCGCGUAGGUGGACUCUUAAGUCGGAGGUGAAAGCCCAGGGCUCAACCCUGGAAUUGCCUUCGAUACUGGGAGUCUUGAGUUCGGAAGAGGUUGGUGGAACUGCGAGUGUAGAGGUGAAAUUCGUAGAUAUUCGCAAGAACACCAGUGGCGAAGGCGGCCAACUGGUCCGAUACUGACGCUGAGGCGCGAAAGCGUGGGGAGCAAACAGG
rnacentral:rRNA from 1 species